GAUAUGACGCCGGAAGAACGGAUAACUUUGAUGUCGUUAACUAUGGAGAAAUCUCCUCAUAUCU
rnacentral:tRNA from 1 species